AAUUAUUUGGCCGAGUUAUAGGCAGAUAUUUUGAAAGUAUCCUACAGAGGCUUAAUACCUCUAAUAAUUU
rnacentral:tRNA from 1 species